rnacentral:snRNA from 1 species
AGACUCCGUCUAAAAAAAAAAAGUGGCAUCUGACACACAGAAUAUUAGCAUGGCCCCUGCUCAAGGAUGACACACACAUUUGUGAAGGGUUCCAUUUAAAA